UCAGUUUGAAGAGGCCGAGCUACCCAGCCUGCUUCCACUUUGCCAUUUGCCUCCUUUCCUUCACUCCCGCUUCUCCACCCCCUCCUUUUUUUUUUUUUUUUUGAAGACAAUCUUAAAGUAACAAUUUAAUGAAAUUCUGCACACACACCCCCUUACGGUCCUCCCAGCUCUCCUCAUUCCUGUUCAAAACACACAUUCCUGUUUUUGUUUUGUUUUGCUUUCUUUUUUCCCUCCUUCACUCCCCCUCCCCCUUAUUAUUUUUUUUCCCCUCCUGGCGGGAGAAAAAAAAAAAUCUAUCUCUUCUCUCAGGAUCCCCUUUGCACUUUGCUGGUAAACCUCAUCCUUCUGUAUAGCACAUAAAGAGUCUUGAAACUUGAUUCUCAGAUUUUUUUUUUCAAAUGCUGUCUUUUUCUCCCUCUCUUUCACUCUCUCUUUCUCACCCUUACUCUCCUAUCUUUCUCUCUCCUCUCUCUCUCCCUCCGCCUCCCUCCCUUACUCCCUCUUUCUUUCCACUCCAUUUCUUUCCCUCUUCCUCUUUCCCUUCUCUCCUGCCUUCCCUAUCCUUUUCUCCCUUUCUCUUUUUCCUUCUUAGAAUUCCCUAAAGUUAUGCAAUGAUUAAAAUUCCCCCUUUCCCUGAGCCCCAGUGCUGCUGGCUUCAGCUAGUCCCAGUGUUGUCUCCACAGCCCUCAUGGAUCCAUCAGAAGAAACCAGAGGAAAGGAUAUUCCAAAGCAUCUGCCUUUCAGAAGCUGUGGACUCAGCACAACCAGGCACAGAGAGGAAGGGAUAGAGAGAUUCAAGUCUCAGCUCCUUGAGUUCUGGACCUCAGUCCCUAAGUGCAUUGGGAGCAAUUGGCAAAGCCUCUGGCUGGUCGUUCGUUGAACAUACAUGUGUUAUUUUAUCCCACCUGUGUUGGAAGACGCUCUUACUUUUAUGCCAGACAAAUGUAUUUCGUGGCUUAUUUGAGAAGAGGCCUUGAGUCACAUAAUGGACGAUGCUUUCAAAUCUGCUUUUUCCAGAAAUUGCAGAAUCACCCACUGUCCAAUUGGCCACUUUUUGUAUAAACUGAGAUUGAAGGCAUGCAAUUAAUGUUUCUUCAGUGAAGACCUUUCCCUGGGAAACUAAUCCAGCAAUGCUUUCUGAUGAACUUGAUCUAUACCAAUUAAGAAUAACAUGACUCGUUGAGCACCUUCUGUAUUCAAUGAAUGGACCUGAGGGCACAUAUUCUCACAACCAGUUGCCGAGAUUUGUUUUGCUCUGUUUGUUUUAAAAGCUAAGGAAAUUCAAGUUCAGAAAGAGGGAGAAAUUUACUCCAAAUCACCUAGCUAGAAGAUACAUGUCCAAUCCCAAACUCGAACCUAUGUGCUGUUCUCCGAUCUAGUAUAAA